GUUUGGUGAACUACUGAACUAUCAAAUUUAACAUCAACAAAAUGGAGACAAAAUCACACAUAAAGAGGGAACAAGUCAUGGUCUUCCUAUUAAUAUUACAAUUUUACUCCUCAAUUUACAAAAUCGGUUUUUUAGUCUUUUUUUUUAUUUUUUUUUAUAAUCACUGGAAUGUUUCAUCCCCUCAAUUUUUUUGGCGACCACGGUGGUAGCUCUGAAGUUUACUAUGGGUGCAAAUCCUCUCCAUUUCCUAAGAAAUUGAGAUCUUCAAGUUGGUUGAGUAUGAGUUUGACACAUGGUACAUUAAAACUCCAAUGACUGAGAUUUACUGAAGGAAAAAAAUCAGAAAACAUGGAUGGGAAUAGUGAAUACGAAGAGAGAGAAUACACUUUCUCCAUCUCUCACAAUUGUCUCUCCGAUUAACGACCUCCGUCACUUACGUCGUCACCGCAUCUCAAAGUAAAGCCCUCCGCCACUGCCGCCGUCGUGCCUCUUCGCAAACCUACCCUUUCUAGAAGCCAACACCAUAUGUUACUGCGACAACCCAAAUCUGCCCUUUCUCGUUCAUGUUUUCUAGAAGACAACAAAGACAUGAAGAUUUUGCUAGUGAUGAUAUUCAUAAUUUGAGCAAGACUUUGGUUGCUGUUACAUGUAAUGCUGCUACAUAUAUGAUAAUAUAUCAUAGUGGGGAGGGUUAGUGAGCCAAGUCCAUAAGCAAUGAUGAAGCUCAAGGGUUAAAAUGUUGUUUAUUUUUCUGUAUUGCGGACUGUUUUUAUGUCCUGCUGUUGUAUUGUUGUCCUAAAGGAAUAAUCCUUAGAGGAGCCCAACAUUGUAUUGAAUUGUAUUGUCAUCUGUGUUUUAGAUUUUGGGGCUUCUGGUUUUGUACUCAUUGCAAGUGCUGCGGUUUUGGUUGGUGUCUGCCAUCAGUAGGGGGCGGUUGGUGCUAUUUGCUCCUGCUGUCAGUUGGUGUUAGCAGCUGCCAGCAGCUAUCUGUGGCGCGGUUCUGCGCGGUUUGUUGUGCAAGGGGGCUGGUUUUGAUGCAGCUGUAUGCGUAGGGGGCCAUUUCUCUUGUUCGGAUGUUCAUUUUUCGGCUGUUUUGGUUCAGUGAAUACCUUUGCAUCAUUCUCUAGUGUUAGGCGGCAGGGUUUUAUUUUGGUAGUUGCUUUAGGGAGUGUUGUUUCAGGGGUUUGUGUCGGGUGUUCCACCUAUAUACGGCACCCUUGUUUGUAUUGGUUUGUUUCUUUUCGCUUGCGCGGUUGGUUUUUGUGCGGCUUGCACCCAUCCGUCGUCAAUAAAAUUAGCAUAUCAAAUGUAAUGUUUGGAUUUUCGUGUAAUGAAUUGGCUUUGUACUGUUAUCAAAUAUACCAUAUUCAUAUUA